rnacentral:rRNA from 1 species
GACGAACGCUGGCGGCGUGCCUAAUACAUGCAAGUAGACCUGAGUUGCGAACGGGUGAGUAACGCGUAGGAACCUGCCUCAUAGCGGGGGAUAACUAUUGGAAAAGAUAGCUAAUACCGCCUUCUGUGAGAUGGACCGGCGUUGUAUUAGCUAGUUGGUGGGGUAAAGGCCUACCAAGGCGACGAUCCGUAACUGGUCUGAGAGGAGGACCAGCCACACUGGAACUGAGACACGGUCCAGACGCCUACGGGAGGCAGCAGUGGGGAAUAUUGGACAAUGGGCGAAAGCCUGAGCCAGCCAUGCCGCGUGUGUGAAGAAGGUCUUCGGAUUGUAAAGCACUUUAAGUUGGGAGGCGUUACCAACAGAAUAAGCACCGGCUAACUUCGUGCCAGCAGCCGCGGUAAUAC